rnacentral:rRNA from 1 species
GCAAAGGUAGCAUAGUCAUUAGUUCUUUAAUUGUGAUCUGGUAUGAAUGGCUUGACGAGGCAUGGGCUGUCUUAAUUUUGAAUUGUUUAUUGAAUUUGGUCUUUGAGUUAAAAUUCUUAGAUGUUUUUAUGGGACGAGAAGACCCUAUAGAGUUUAACAUUUGCUAUGGUCCUCUUUUUGUUUGUGAGGGUUCACUGGGCCAUUUAAUAUGUUUUGUUGGGGUGAUGGGAGGGAUUAAUUUAACCCCUCCUUUUUAUUAUUAUAUUUAUUUAUAUUUACUUGAUCCAUUUAUUUUGAUUGUAAGAUUAAAUUACCUUAGGGAUAACAGCGUUAUCUUCCUUGAGAGUUCUUAUCGGCAGGGGGGUUUGCG